GGUGAACGCUGGCGGCGUGCCUAAGACAUGCAAGUCGAGCGGGCCGCGGGGUUUUACUCCGUGGUCAGCGGCGGACGGGUGAGUAACGCGUGGGUGACCUACCCGGAAGAGGGGGACAACCCGGGGAAACUCGGGCUAAUCCCCCAUGUGGACCCGCCCCUUGGGGUGUGUCCAAAGGGCUUUGCCCGCUUCCGGAUGGGCCCGCGUCCCAUCAGCUAGUUGGUGGGGUAAUGGCCCACCAAGGCGACGACGGGUAGCCGGCCUGAGAGGGUGGCCGGCCACAGGGGCACUGAGACACGGGCCCCACUCCUACGGGAGUCAGCAGUUAGGAAUCUUCCGCAAUGGGCGCAAGCCUGACGGAGCGACGCCGCUUGGAGGAAGAAGCCCUUCGGGGUGUAAACUCCUGAACCCGGGACGAAACCCCCGACGAGGGGACUGACGGUACCGGGGUAAUAGCGCCGGCCAACUCCGUG
rnacentral:rRNA from 1 species